rnacentral:piRNA from 1 species
UAUGCAUGCAACAAAUCGUUUACUUCGGC